GACAACAACAUCUACUGUACCGUAUUUAUUUAGAAAACAAUUAACAAAAUGUUUGUGUGUACAAAUCCACUCUAUACAGUACAUAUGAUUACUAACAUUAAAUUAAAACAUUGUAAAAGACUUUAGGAAGAUAAAUUAAAUGGACAAGGUCUUUGUAUGAGUCACAAAUGGCCCAGAGCCCUGGCACCGUAGUACCAUGGGGCCCCUGGCACCGUAGUACCAUGGGGCCCCUGGCACCGGGCCCUGGCACCGUAGUACCAUGGGGGCCCUGGCACCGUAGUACCAUGGGGCCCCUGGCACCGGGCCCUGGCACCGUAGUACCAUGGGGCUCCUGGUACUGUAGUACCAUGGGGCCCCUGGCACCGUAGUACCAUGGGGCCCCUGGCACCGUAGUACCAUGGGGGCCCCUGGCACGGCCCCCUCUGGCCCUGGAUCGGUAGCAAUGAGAAAACAUUGUAAAUACCACCAAUAUUUAUCUGUUUAUUUGUCUUCCCUUACUAUUUGCAUAUUAUUAAAACACUGAAUCUUUUUUUGUUGUUCUUUUGUUUAUUAUCUAUUUUCACUUGCUUUGGCAAUGUAAACAUGUUUCCCCAUGCCAGUAAAGCACCAAUUGAAUUGAGAGAAAGAGCCUCAGAACAGCCAAUGUGACCCCACUUGAAAACCGAAAUGAGAGCGAGACGUGUGACAGGGUUGUACUAAAGACAUGAGCGCGGGGGAAUGGAGGGAACUCCUCCUGUCUCCUGAACAGGUUUCUGUGUGUGUACGACAGCUCUCCAUAUAGCUUCUUCAGUUCACUGUACCUCCUCCAUACUAACACCUCCUUGACAUCCUCAGGACGAAGCGGGGCAGAGGGGCAGAGACAGAGAGAGAGGGAAGGGAUGAAGAGAGAGAGAGAGAGAGAGAGAGGGAAGGGAUGAAGAGAGAGAGAGAGAGAGAGAUNNNNNNNNNNNNNNNNNNNNNNNNNNNNNNNNNNNNNNNNCUCAGUGGGGCACAGUGGGCUGAGUGGGGAUCAGUGGGGCCAAUUUGGGGCUCAUUGGGGCCAGUGGGCUGAGUGGGCUGAGUGGGCUCAGUGGGGCUCAGUGGGGCUCAGUGGGGCUCAGUGGGGCCAAUAGGCUCAGUGGGGCUCAGUGGUGCCAUUGGGCUCAGUGGGCUCAGUGGGCUCAGUGGGGCUCAGUGGGAUCAAAAAGUAUAGACAUAGUAUAACAGAAUAUAACCAUGUACUGAAUGUAACAGUUGCUGAAUGAUAAAUGAUGUUAGACCUGAAUAUCUGUUCUCCUAGACAUUGUAUGGGACAUAGGCUUUGUCCUCAAUCUUCUAAACCAACUAGAUGUGUCUGGUCUGGGCCAUGUCUGAUCUUGUGAAGGCUGCUGGACAUGGGGUUAAUCAAACAUAGAUAACAUUGGCCUGAGAGAGAGAGAGAGAGAGAUACAUAGAUAACAUUGGCCUGUACUUGUAAAGACCUCUGGACAGGAACAUUAGCUAAUCAGUGAGGGCCACCAGUAGGAGGGGCCAUGUCACACCACCAAUAUAAUCUAUGCCCCAAUGUCUAAGCCAAUCAGAGAAUAUGAAACUAAGUAAGACAACAAGAUUCANNNNNNNNNNNNNACUGUAUGAAUCUUAUUAUAAUCAUAAGAUUGAAUAUAAUGUGUGUAGUUUUAGUCAAGAAUUAGAACAAGGACUUUCUGUUCCUUGUUAGAUACUAAUGGAGCUAUCAUCAGACCGGCUGGAAUACUGUGUUCCUUACAGGACAUCCUGUCCCCACCCAGGGAGGGGAGAGACCUUGGACUUGUAGUAGAUUGUUUAACAGGUGGCAGACAAUGUGAGAAGGCUUGUGAACUAUAUUGCCAUUGUAUCUGAGAGGAGGAGGGACAUUUACGACGAAAUGUGAAGUAUAUAAACCAAUGUACAUGGUAUUAUGGGCAGAGCUCUUGAGAAUAAACGCUAUUGGUUAAUGUUGAUGACUGGUCUCUGUCUAUUUUAUGUAAAUGAGAACCAAAUUCAUAUAAAUGGAUGGAGUGUUUUAAUUGAAUUGGUUAAUGAACACAUAGGAUCAAAAUUCCUCUAACACAGAAUGAACACAAUAACUUUUUUUUUCUUUCUCCCC
rnacentral:lncRNA from 13 species